rnacentral:rRNA from 1 species
AACGAACGCUGGCGGCGCGCUUAACACAUGCAAGUCGAACGAGAAGGCGUAGCAAUACGCUUGUACAGUGGCGAACGGGUGAGUAAUACGUGGGCGACCUACCCUCGAGUGGGGAAUAACCCGCCGAAAGGCGGGCUAAUGCCGCGUACGCUUCCAUCUUUAUGGAGGUGGAAGGAAAGCCGUGCCGUGGGCACGGCGCUCAAGGAUGGGCUCACGUCCUAUCAGCUUGUUGGUAGGGAACGGCCUACCAAGGCUCCGACGGGUAGCUGGUCUGAGAGGACGAUCAGCCACACUGGCACUGCGACACGGGCCAGACUCCUACGGGAGGCAGCAGUGAGGAAUAUUGCGCAAUGGGCGAAAGCCUGACGCAGCGACGCCG